rnacentral:lncRNA from 1 species
UCAGAACACUCGUAGAUGCUACCGCUGGAUCUUGAUCUAUAUUUGUGGAAAUAUCUCUAGUUUCCAUUUUCUUAAGUCCAUUGAGGUGUUUGGAGAUUUCUUUCUUUGCCUUCUUCCUCACGUUAACAUAUGCCCUAACCUCCUUCUCUACGCUACCUUUCCUACGCAGAGCUGAUUUGAGAUUCAUCAUGUGCUCUCUCAUCGUGGCAACCACCUCCCUUGCAGCCUCACACACGUCCAGCAACACGACGGAUACAUUUAAAGACUCAUCUAGAAGUUUCCCCUU